UGGGGAAUUUUGGACAAUGGGCGAAAGCCUGAUCCAGCAAUGCCGCGUGUGUGAAGAAGGCCUUCGGGUUGUAAAGCACUUUUGUCCGGAAAGAAAUCCUUGGCUCUAAUACAGUCGGGGGAUGACGGUACCGGAAGAAUAAGCACCGGCUAACUACGUGCCAGCAGCCGCGGUAAUACGUAGGGUGCAAGCGUUAAUCGGAAUUACUGGGCGUAAAGCGUGCGCAGGCGGUUUGCUAAGACCGAUGUGAAAUCCCCGGGCUCAACCUGGGAACUGCAUUGGUGACUGGCAGGCUAGAGUAUGGCAGAGGGGGGUAGAAUUCCACGUGUAGCAGUGAAAUGCGUAGAGAUGUGGAGGAAUACCGAUGGCGAAGGCAGCCCCCUGGGCCAAUACUGACGCUCAUGCACGAAAGCGUGGGGGAGCAAAACAGGAUUAGAUACCCUGGUAGUCCACGCCCUAAAACGAUGUCAACUAGUUGUUGGGGAUUCAUUUCCUUAGUAACGUAGCUAACGCGUGAAGUUGACCGCCUGGGGAGUACGGGUCGCAAAGAUUAAAAACUUAAAGGAAUUGACGGGGUCAUAGCUGUUUCCU
rnacentral:rRNA from 1 species